rnacentral:sRNA from 1 species
GUUGCUCAUUCAUCUGUUUAUGAUUGCCACCCCACAGCGGGCAGAGCUCAUAAAAUCCGAAUGACGCACCAAACGGAGCCUGUCGUCCACCCAACCGAUAAUCGUAUGUUCUGCAUCGUUAUCAAGCAUCGGACGCAACGUUGAGUUAGGCUCCACCCAUUCUCGCGUACUGCUAUGGCGGUGCGUCAACGGCAGGCCGUCGCGCCUGCCGUUUUCUU